rnacentral:rRNA from 1 species
GAUCGGCCCGCGUCUGAUUAGCUAGUUGGUGAGGUAAUGGCUCACCAAGGCGACGAUCAGUAGCUGGUCUGAGAGGAUGACCAGCCUCACUGGGACUGAGACACGGCCCACACUCCUACGGGAGGCAGCAGUGGGGAAUAUUGGACAAUGGGCGCAAGCCUGAUCCAGCCAUGCCGCGUGGAUGAUGAAGGCCUUAGGGUUGUAAAGUCCUUUUAACGGGGAAGAUAAUGACGGUACCCGUAGAAUAAGCCCCGGCUAACUUCGUGCCAGCAGCCGCGGUAAUACGAAGGGGGCUAGCGUUGCUCGGAAUUACUGGGCGUAAAGCGCACGUAGGCUGUCUUUUAAGUCGGGGGUGAAAUCCUGGAGCUCAACUCCAGAACUGCCUUCGAUACUGAAAGACUUGAGUUCGGGAGAGGUGAGUGGAACUGCGAGUGUAGAGGUGAAAUUCGUAGAUAUUCGCAAGAACACCAGUGGCGAAGGCGGCUCACUGGCCCGAUACUGACGCUGAAGUGCGAAAGCGUGGGGAGCAAACAGGAUUAGAUACCCUGGUAGUCCACGCCCGUAACGAUUAAUGCUAGCCGUUGGACAGCUUGCUGUUCAGUGGCGCAACUUAACGCUUUUAGCAUUUCCCCCGGGGGAG